rnacentral:rRNA from 1 species
GACGAAGGUGGCGAGCGUUACUCGGAAUUACUAGGCGUAAAGCGUGGGUAGGCGGUUCGGCAAGUCUGUUGUGAAAGCUCCCGGCUCAACUGGGAGAGGCCAAUGGAUACUACCGGACUUGAAUGUGGGAGAGGUCACUGGAAUUCCCGGUGUAGCGGUGAAAUGCGUAGAGAUCGGGAGGAACACCGAUGGCGAAAGCAGGUGACUGGACCACUAUUGACGCUGAUCCACGAAAGCUAGGGGAGCAAACAGGG